CUACUUACCUGGCAGGGGAGAUACCACGAUCAUGACGGUGGUUUUCCCAGGGCGAGACUCAGCCAUUGCACUACGGAUGUGCUGACCCCUGCGAUUUCCCCAAAUGUGGGGAAACUCGACUGCCUAAUUUGUGGUAGCAGGGGACUGCGUUCAUGCUUUCCUCUG